AAAAUUCCACUAUUUCUAAAAAUUCUCAAAUUUUGCAUAAAUGAAGAUCUCAAAGAAAUGAACAACUUUCAUACCUGCCACAAAGUCUAAAAGUGGACGGAAGGUGGUCAAUUUUGUCCACAAAGCCGGCGGUGCCUAAAACUUCCCGGCGUCGAUUUGUCAUCUACGGUGGAUCAACGGGGUCAAGGUUGGUUGGGAUUUCCUCCUAGGAUGAUGGGCUACAAAGCCCAAGUGGUGGCAUCAGCCAUUGCUUUGCCGAUUUGCCGAAAAAUUGAAAAAAGUGGCCGGACACGGUUUUGACAAGUUAGAUUUCGUGGUUUCGCCCCGCCACAUGUGGUGGUUUCUAAAGGUGGUUCUUGGAUGGGUUUUGUAGAGGGGAAUGAGAGCUUCAAGAUGGUGGUGGUGGCAUCGAAAAACUCCACCGGAGUUGGCCGGAAUCGGCCUUGGAAGAUGGGUGGUCGCAAUGGGUGUGGGUGUGGGUGUGGGUAUAGGUGCACAGAAAGCUAGGAGCUUUCCUCUUUUUUUUUCUUCUUCUUCUUUUCCUGAUUUUCUGAUUGGGCUGUUGCCUUCUCCCUCUCUUCUAAUUGGUUCAUUGUCCCUUUAAUUUAAUUGGUCCACUAUUCCCACUUGGUGGGAGUUCAAAAUUAAACUAACAAGUAACCAAUUUCAAAUGUCCGUAACUAUACUGUUAUAAUCCGGACUCAUAAAUGGCUUUCACCUAUGCGUUCAUACCAUCGAGUACUACGAAAAUAUGCCAAAAGAAUAAGUCAUACGUUCUUCUAGACAAUGGUCAACAGAAAUCAAAAUCCUUGCCUCUUGACAUUUUUGUCAAUUCCCUUGAUUAAAAUAAAUAAAAACGAAAUUUUAGGGAUGGGUUGUCACAAUCUACCCACCUUAAAAAAUUUCGUCCUCGAAAUUUAAAAUCAUUAGCUAACAUAAUAUACUCCCGAAGAUAGGAAAAAGUCUAAUACAUAUAUAUGUAUAUAUAAGGAGGAAAUCAAAUAGAGAUGAUGCAUAAAAGAGAAUGUCAUUUCGUCAUGAUCAGAGUGCAGUGAUUCGUCUUUCAUUCUCUUUCAAAACAAUAUUACAGUAUAAAAUCUUUACGAAAGCAUCAAGUCAAAAUAAAUAUAUUUAAAUCAAAAUUG
rnacentral:lncRNA from 1 species